GACCUCGGAUCAGGUAGGGAUACCCGCUGAACUUAAGCAUAUCAAUAAGCGGAGGAAAAGAAACCAACAGGGAUUGCCCUAGUAACGGCGAGUGAAGCGGCAUCAGCUCAAAUUUGAAAUCUGGCGCUUUCAGCGUCCGAGUUGUAAUUUGCAGAGGGCGCUUUGGCAUUGGCAGCGGUCCAAGUUCCUUGGAACAGGACGUCACAGAGGGUGAGAAUCCCGUACGUGGUCGCUAGCCUUUACCGUGUAAAGCCCCUUCGACGAGUCGAGUUGUUUGGGAAUGCAGCUCUAAAUGGGAGGUAAAUUUCUUCUAAAGCUAAAUACUGGCCAGAGACCGAUAGCGCACAAGUAGAGUGAUCGAAAGAUGAAAAGCACUUUGGAAAGAGAGUUAAAAAGCACGUGAAAUUGUUGAAAGGGAAGCGCUUGCAGCCAGACUUGCCUGUAGUUGCUCAUCCGGGUUUUUACCCGGUGCACUCUUCUAUAGGCAGGCCAGCAUCAGUUUGGGCGGUUGGAUAAAGGUCUCUGUCAUGUACCUCCUUUCGGGGAGAUCUUAUAGGGGAGACGACAUGCAACCAGCCUGGACUGAGGUCCGCGCAUCUGCUAGGAUGCUGGCGUAAUGGCUGUAAGCGGCCCGUCUUGGAACACGGACCAAGGAGUCUAACAUGCUUGCGAGUAUUUGGGUGUCAAACCCGGAUGCGUAAUGAAAGUGAAUGGAGGUGGGAAGCGCAAGCUGCACCAUCGACCGAUCUGGAUUUUUUAAGAUGGAUUUGAGUAAGAGCACGUAUGUUGGGACCCGAAAGAUGGUG
rnacentral:rRNA from 14 species